rnacentral:rRNA from 1 species
UACGUAGGGUGCAAGCGUUAAUCGGAAUUACUGGGCGUAAAGCGUGCGUAGGCGGUUCGGUAAGUCAGGUGUGAAAUCUCCACGCUCAACGUGGAGGCGCCACCUGAAACUGCCGUGACUCGAGUCCGGUAGGGGAGUGUGGAAUUCCUGGUGUAGCGGUGAAAUGCGCAGAUAUCAGGAGGAACACCGGUGGCGAAGGCGGGUCUCUGGGCCGAUACUGACGCUGGAGGAGCGAAAGCGUGGGGAGCGAACAGG